ACGGAAGGCAGCAGUGGGGAAUAUUGCACAAUGGGGGAAACCCUGAUGCAGCGACGCCGCGUGAGUGAAGAAGUUAUUCGUAAUGUAAAGCUCUAUCAGCAGGGAAGAAAAUGACGGUACCUGACUAAGAAGCCCCGGCUAACUACGUGCCAGCAGCCGCGGUAAUACGUAGGGGGCAAGCGUUAUCCGGAUUUACUGGGUGUAAAGGGAGCGUAGACGGUCUAGCAAGUCUGAUGUGAAAGGCAGGGGCUCAGCUCCUGGACUGCAUUGGAAACUGUUAGUCUUGAGUGUCGGAGAGGUAAGCGGAAUUCCUAGUGUAGCGGUGAAAUGCGUAGAUAUUAGGAGGAACACCAGUGGCGAAGGCGGCUUACUGGACGAUAACUGACGUUGAGGCUCGAAAGCGUGGGGAGCAAACAGGAUUAGAUACCCUGGUA
rnacentral:rRNA from 1 species